AAUGUUGACAGUACCACAGGCUCCCGGAGAGCAAACCUUCCAGUCCCUCUGUGUUUCCUGCCACAGCUCUGUACCUGGAUUGCUCCUUGGUGCACAGGCAGCAUGCGCUGUCUUCAGGACCUGCUUCCUCAGGAGAGUUUUAUCCUGGGUUAACCUUACCCAGGCUGUCUCCCUUGGAAGCCCUUGAGGGUAUAGACACUGGUGACACAGGCUUUGGAACUCUCCCAAGAGAGUGAAUCUUCUGAGCUUCAGAACUUCUGGGCUUGGGGGUGUGGCUCAGCAGGUGAAGGUGCUCACAGCAUCCAAGUCUGACGGCCUGAGUUCCAUCCCUCGACCCACGUGACGGAAGGCGUGCAAACUUCUCAGAAGAUUGUCCUUUGGCCUCCACAGCCACAGUGGGAUGUGUGCACACCAUACACACACACAAAACAAAUAAAUGGAAAUUAAAAGUA
rnacentral:lncRNA from 1 species